UUGAUCAAGAGCAUGCAGGCAACCCCCUGUUGCCAGUACCAGUGGCUUGGCCUCCAUUGCACUUGGGGAGGAGCACUAGUCUACCAUCUCCUCAAGUAGGAGAGUGGACAUCAUAAUUUGUAGGAGAGGAGAUACGUGUCCGCGCGGUCCCUAC